UACGUAGGGGGCAAGCGUUGUCCGGAAUCAUUGGGCGUAAAGAGCGUGUAGGCGGCUUGAUUAGUCCGCUGUGAAAGUCCAGGGCUCAACCCUGGAAUGCCGGUGGAAACUGUCGAGCUAGAGUCCGGAAGAGGCGAGUGGAAUUCCUGGUGUAGCGGUGAAAUGCGCAGAUAUCGGGAGGAACACCAGUGGCGAAGGCGGCCUUCUGGACCAGUACUGACGCUCAUGCACGAAAGCGUGGGGAGCAAACAGG
rnacentral:rRNA from 1 species